rnacentral:lncRNA from 1 species
UGGCCGGUCGUUUACCAAAAAGGCAUGACAUAUUCGUAACUAUCGGGUAAAUAACUGAAUCUAACACGAUUUGUAUAAAUGUUUUGAUAUCAAUCAAUGUUCAUCUACAAAUAAGAUAGGAAUGGUAAGUAUAAUUAUACUCCUUAAUUCCUACCACAGAAAACGAAAGUGACAAAGAGAGAACAAUUCCGCAUAUUUUACCUGCGUACAUCUCUCAUAUGCACAUUUGUGUGACCCGGUUAUCAGUGUUGUAAUCAUUUAUCUUUUUUUUUGUCUCUUUUAUAGACUAUUAAACAAGAUUACCUUUUAAAGCUCCUUCGUGGCAUGUUUGAUUAUGUUUAUAUUAGUCAUCUGAUGGGGUUCAAAAGGAUUUCCCUAAUCCCUACAGGCGUCUCUUUUUCUCUCUUUAAGUUAGACAUACAAUAAAAUAUGGCAUUUGUUUCUUUGUGUGCUAUUUACGAUUCAAUCUACACCCUUCUAUCGUCACUCUUUUCACUCCAUUCAAACCACCAAUCAAAAUGUACAAGUCAUACAUUGCUUUCCUAAUCUGUCUCGGCCAUGAUUUGUAUGCAAGCCUAACAAACAUAAAAACAACACAUUUGUCUCGUUUGUCUGAUCCUUGUCUACCUGCAAUUUCAAUUAUUAUUAAAAAGAAAAAGCAGCUAUAAACAUAUCAUGGGGGGGAGGGGGGGGGGGGGUGCCAAGGCUGCAUAAUUUUGCAAAACCAAUUUGCGUAAGUUUGAUUGACCUUAUGGAAUGUUUAAACACUCAGCCAAAGCCGAUUAAAAUAAAAUGGGAAAUGCAACAUGUUUAAUCUUUAACCUCGUUGAAGGAGAAUGUCGUGCAGGAACAAUACCACAUCAACCGUCUGAUUGGUCUACGGGGGGCUUUUUCUAGUCAAAAGUUCUGCCUUAUCAAACAUAUAGUUCUUUUAAAGUGGCAGUACAAAUGGUAGCCCUUCAUCCCUCAUUGUAUUUUUUUUUUAUUCGAGGUGUUGAUGAAGGUCACACAGCAAUGACUUAACAAAUAAAGAUUUUGAUCCAAAACUAUGUAUGAAUUUGUAAAAGAAAAUUUUCUUGAACCAGAAUUUACAGUUUAUCCAUUCCCAUUUGAUAUUGUUAUAAUUACUAUUAACAACUGAUGAGUUAUUUGGACCAAACCUGCGAGUACGAGUUUGUUUAUUAUACUUCAUUUCUUAGAGAAAGAAAACACAAGUUUAUUUAUCACCAUUUUCACUUACUGUACUGUACGUACUGUAAGGUGUACCUAUUAGUAAAUUCAAUACAAUUAGACUGAAAAAAAUCAUUGCCCCAUGAAAUUGUAAAACUGUCGAGGUUGAGAGAUUAAAAAGUGGAUAUCCCUAAUAGACUUUUCAAAUAGAGAGGCGAAAGAUAUAUAAAAAAGUCCUUUAAGUCGAAAAUGAAAUGACAACACUAUGGCAAAAAAAAAAAAACCCAUAAAAAACACAACAAUACACCAACAAAACAACAUAUGGAAACCAGAUCAACACGAACCUCACUAAAACCAUGAAUGAUAUCAGGUACUCCGGACUUGUGGCAUCCAUCCUCUUACUGCAUAUUCAUACGCCGUUUUCGACUUAUACGAAUGCAAUUUUACAUAACACCUAUUGACAACAAAAUGUCAUAGCCUUUCAAUAUUAUUGAAUAAAAGAAAGGACGUAUUUUGCUAUUUUAACUACAUACAGUUUGGUGAGUUACCAGUGUAAGCUGUCGUGUUUCGGUUUUUAGGAGUAGCUGCACCAGAAGUAGAAAACAAUCCGACAGAAAAAAUUAUACAUAUUAUAUUAAGAUAUUGAUUUAAUACAACAACGCUAUAUUUUAAUGAAGUUUUCGAAACAUUCCGAAAGUAGUAAUUUUACACAUCAAUUAAUUUAGAUAAACCAAAUUAAAACUUUCGGUUAUUGUAGUGAAAAGAUGGACAUAAGAAGAUGUGGUAUGGGUGAAAUGAUUCAACUAUCCACCCAAGUCACAAUUUGUAAAAAAAAUAACCAUUAUAGGUCAAAAUGCGGUCUUCAACACGGAGCCUUGACUCGCACCAAACAGCAAGCUAUAAAGGGCUCCAAAUAUUACCAGUGUAAACCUAUUCAAACGGGAAAACUAAUGGUCAAAUCUAUUAAAAAAAAAAACGAAAAACGAGAAAGCCUAUUAGCAUAUGUACUACAGUUAAUGUAAUGCAAUUAAGAGGAACUUUAAUUAAAUGUGACAAUUUUCACAUCUUUCUCGAGUUUUUUUAUUAAAGUAUAAUUUAGUGAAUUACUGAAAAUUCAUCUAAUGGCCUUAACCUUUCAAACUAGCUAUCACUGCAAUAUAAGCUCUAAAAAAGUCCAUUAAUACUGCAUUAAAUGUGGAAUACGAAUAAGAAUAACGUGAGGAAUUCAAGCCGAUGAUUUUUUUCUGACACAAUGCAAUGUCGACUUUAUGCUCUUAUUAUAUUAUUUUAUUUUUAAGGUUGGCGUUUUCUAUUGUAUAAUGGCGACUUCAUCUUUAGGUUGCAGUGUUUGUGAUUUACGCCAUAUCUCUAAACUUUCUGCGAUCUGGUGUACUGAAUGUGACGAAGGACUUUGCGACAGUUGCCAGGAACACCACAGUUUAUCGAAAGCAUCACGAAAUCAUACUGUCAUACCAAUUACAGAAUAUCAUAAAUUACCAAGUGAUGUAGUAAAGAUUAGUCAGUUCUACGACAAGCACAAUGAGAAAUUAAGCAUCUACUGCAAGAUGCAUGAAUGUCCUUGUUGUAGAAACUGCAUUGUAGAAAGUCACAACAAAUGCCACCAACUUUUGAAAAUAGAAGACGUCAUCAAUAAUGUCAAAUCGUCAAAUGCAUUUUUUGAGAUCGAACAGACAUUAAACAUGUUAAAGAAAGUCGCGGAAAAUAUUGAAAAAAUCCGGGUAGACCGACAAAACAAUCUUAAAACUUUAUCGGAGACUCGACAACAAAUUGAGAAGGAAAUAAAAAAAUCCCGAACAGCCAUCAAUAAUCAUAUCGACAAAGUACAAGCAGAUAUACUAAAGGAACUAUAUGAAUCGGAAGACAAGGAGAGUAAAAAAACCGUCACCUGCUAAAUUCUUUAGAGGAAAAACAACAAGAGAUUUCCAUAUUACAAGGGAGCAUUUCUGAUAUCAAACAGCAUGCGUCAGAUCUUCAGACUUUUUUGUCAAUGAAACGGAUUGACACGGAGUUCUCCGACAAAAAUGAAUACCCUAAUACAAUAUCAAAUAAUAAGAGUUUGAAUCAGAUAGUUCUGUCAUUAAAUAUCAACACUGAAAUUCAAAAUCUCAAUUCCGAUAUCCCAAAUUUUGGAAAGAUCACGGUUGAAAGUAAACCGUCUAAUAUUGAGCUUACCACGAACAAGCAGAAACAAGCUCAAAUGAAGAUGACAAAAGUACCAUCAAGCUCGUUUGAAAAUUUCACUUUAAAACUACAGCAGACCAUGAGAAUAAAUAAAGACAAAAACACUUUUGGUACAUGUCUGCUACCCAAUGGGAGGAUGAUAUUUUCCAGCAGUAAGUAUGGGUACGGUACUAUAAUCGUUCUGAACGCAAAUGGAACAAUAGAUUUUGAAGAAGACUUACCAUCAUAAUCCUUUGAUGUAACAUACAUUACAGAAGACAAUACUUUGGCUGUAUCAUCUGGAGGUUAUGGUGACCAGUGUAUUCACAUUAUUGACAUUCAAAACAAAAAAGUAAAGAAAGCUAUUUCUGUAAAGGAUUAUAUAUAUGGGAUAACAUAUAACGGAUCAACAUUAAUUUAUUCUGGGCUGAAUAAAGGAAUUCGAAUGAUCAACCCAAAUAACCAGACAUUAAACGAUAUUCUUGGAGGUAAAAUGAAUUCUGAAUGCUACGUUACAACAUUUGGCAACAAACUUUAUCAUACAAAUCCGAAGGAUAACACCGUUACAUGUUAUGAUCUAAAAGGUAAUAAAGAAUGGCUUUUUGAAAAUAAAAGAGUUUUGAAGAAACCCGGAGGCAUCUCCGUAGAUAACGAUGGUAAUAUAUAUGUAGUAGGACGUGAGUCAAACAAUGUCAUAAUAAUCUCUCCCAAUGGAAAACAACACCGGCAACUGUUAUCUGGAAAUGAAGGUCUUUCUGAACCAUUGUCGAUACAUUUUAGUAAGGAAAGAAAUAUGUUCAUUGUUGCAAAUAAAGGAAGGGGAGAAGCAUUCUUAUAUUCAGUAAACUGAAUAAUUUUGCAGUUAUAAUUUAGUGACUGCAGAAAAAGUAAACAUUUGAAAUGUUUUAAUUAGAUAUGUUUGCCUAAUAUCGUGAAUAAAGAUUCAUUUAAAUAUUGUGUGGUUUGAGUUCCUUAAAUUCAAUGUACUGCAUAGGUACCUAGGUAAAAUAAAAAAAAAAACCAUUAGUACUUUCUUAAUCUUAUAAAGCGUUACUCUUUAUAGCACCUUUGUUAGACAAUGUGAUGACUCAAAAGCUAUAGUUCCCCUAUAAAGGUUUGAAUUUAGCAGGCGGUCCGAUAUUCCUAGAAAUGCAACCUGUUUCUUGCAGCUAUGAUAAUUAGAUAGAAUCACAAUUUAUAUUCAUAUUUAAAACAGUAAAUGUGUAAACAAAAUUUAAAGG